GGUGGUCAUAAGCUACCUUACAUCUACACUACUCUAUUAGCGUCUACACUAAAAUACAGCUCCCAUCGAUGUAAGUCACCCCUACACCGACUUAAUAUCU